GCUUCCAUAUCAUAGUGGUAUUGUGUUCGCUUUGUAAGCGAAAGUCGCGAGUUCGAUCCUCACUGGGAGCU